AAAAGACUUGAGCUUGUUGAAAUAACUUAUAAGUGUCAUGAUGUGUUCCCGCACACCAUUGACACCAUCAUAUUGGGUGUGCUCCAGAAAAUAAAGAUAAUGACUCUUUUGAGCCUUGUCAGACUUUUUAAGCUUUUCAGCAAUAGUUUGCAGAAAUUCCUUAGCAGUCUACUUAUCAGGAAUACGCUGUCUUAUGAACUUAUCUAUAGUAUACUUCAUCACCAUUAAGCAAACCCUAUUAAAAUUUUAACCACUUCUCAUGAUAAGUUUUUUCAGCAAUAGUUGAUUCAUUAGUAAGUUCAGUAGGUGCAUGAACCCUUAAGGCUAAAUCCAGUUGGGCUAUUG
rnacentral:misc_RNA from 1 species